GGCUGGGUAGAUGGUGUGAGAAAUCACUAUAAUUGUUACAGAAAAGAAGGGACAGACUGAUAACAGAAGUAGCUCUGUUGGCUGGAGACUGUAAAUCUAUAACUGAUCUUAAUUAGGAGGAACAAUGAAGAUAUCUAUUGGAGCUGUAUUUAUGUUCUUUUGGCUGCAGCUGUACUGGGUCAGCCAAGGAGAGCAAGUGGAUCAGCAUCCUUCUACCCUGAGUGUCCAGGAGGGAAACACCUCUGUCAUCACCUGUGCUUAUUCUGACCACUCCUCAAGCUACUUUCCUUGGUAUAAGAAAGAACCUGGAAAAGGUCCUCAGCUCAUUAUAGGCAUUCAUUCAACUAAGGACAAAAAUCAAAAUGAAAGACUCACUGUUUUAUUGAAUAAGAUGGCCAGACAUUUCUCCCUGCACAUCACAGCCACCCAACCUGGCGACUCAGCUGUGUACUUCUGUGCAGCGAAUGCACAUUGCUUCUUAGCACGUACAACCUGUACACAAAUCUGUGUGUGGAGCAGCUCCCUCUCCUUUGAGAAAGACAUUCAAGAAUAGCACUUGUGAAACUGUUUGUCUGCAAGCAGAAACUAAUGUGUUCUAUGUUAAAAACAUGUAAUAAGAAGAUUAGUUUCACAAUGACCUAGAA